rnacentral:rRNA from 1 species
UACGAAGGGAGCUAGCGUUGUUCGGAAUCACUGGGCGUAAAGCGCACGUAGGCGGGUUUGUCAGUCAGGGGUGAAAUCCCGGAGCUCAACUCCGGAACUGCCCUUGAUACAGCAAGCCUUGAGUCCGGAAGAGGUAGGUGGAAUUCCUAGUGUAGAGGUGAAAUUCGUAGAUAUUAGGAAGAACACCAGUGGCGAAGGCGACUUACUGGACACAUAUUGACGCUGAGGUGCGAAAGCGUGGGGAGCAAACAGG